GAUGAACGCUGGCGGCGUGCCUAAUACAUGCAAGUCGAGCGAACAGACGAGGAGCUUGCUCCUCUGACGUUAGCGGCGGACGGGUGAGUAACACGUGGAUAACCUACCUAUAAGACUGGGAUAACUUCGGGAAACCGGAGCUAAUACCGGAUAAUAUAUUGAACCGCAUGGUUCAAUAGUGAAAGACGGUUUUGCUGUCACUUAUAGAUGGAUCCGCGCCGCAUUAGCUAGUUGGUAAGGUAACAGCUUACCAAGGCAACGAUGCGUAGCCGACCUGAGAGGGUGAUCGGCCACACUGGAACUGAGACACGGUCCAGACUCCUACGGGAGGCAGCAGUAGGGAAUCUUCCGCAAUGGGCGAUAGCCUGACGGAGCAACGCCGCGUGAGUGAUGAAGGUCUUCGGAUCGUAAAACUCUGUUAUUAGGGAAGAACAAAUGUGUAAGUAACUAUGCACGUCUUGACGGUACCUAAUCAGAAAGCCACGGCUAACUACGUG
rnacentral:rRNA from 1 species